UUGCAAUGAUGUGUGAAUUUCUUCACCUGAAUUAAUAGCAUGAAGAAUAAAUACACGAGCUUUUUAACCCUGAGCAAA
rnacentral:snoRNA from 15 species